GACGAACGCUGGCGGCGUGCUUAACACAUGCAAGUCGAACGGUAAGGCCCUUCGGGGUACACGAGUGGCGAACGGGUGAGUAACACGUGGGUAAUCUGCCCUGCACAUCGGGAUAAGCCUGGGAAACUGGGUCUAAUACCGAAUAGGACCACAGGACACAUGUGCUGUGGUGGAAAGCUUUUGCGGUGUGGGAUGGGCCCGCGGCCUAUCAGCUUGUUGGUGGGGUGAUGGCCUACCAAGGCGACGACGGGUAGCCGGCCUGAGAGGGUGUCCGGCCACACUGGGACGGAGAUACGGCCCAGACUCCUACGGGAGGCAGCAGUGGGGAAUAUUGCACAAUGGGCGAAAGCCUGAUGCAGCGACGCCGCGUGGGGGAUGACGGCCUUCGGGUUGUAAACCUCUUUCACCAUCGACGAAGGUCCGGGUUUUCUCGGGCUGACGGUAGGUGGAGAAGAAGCACCGGCCAACUACGUG
rnacentral:rRNA from 1 species